rnacentral:rRNA from 1 species
AAAAUGACUCUCGGCAACGGAUAUCUCGGCUCUCGCAUCGAUGAAGAACGUAGCGAAAUGUGAUACUUGGUGUGAACUGCAGAAUCCCGUGAACCAUCGAGUCUUUGAACGCAAGUUGCGCCCCAAGCCUUCUGGCCGAGGGCACGUCUGCCUGGGUGUCACAA